rnacentral:rRNA from 1 species
GAUGAACGCUGGCGGCGUGCUUAACACAUGCAAGUCGAACGUGAGAAUAGCAAUAUUUGAAAGUGGCAAACGGGUGAGUAACACGUGGGAACCUGCCUCGAAGUGGGGGAUAACGAUUGGAAACGGUCGCUAAUACCGCACGGUUCUGCUCUGAUGGGAAUGGAGCAGAUAAAGAUUUAUCGCUUUGAGAGGGGCCCGCGGCCGAUUAGCUAGUUGGUAAGGUAAAGGCUUACCAAGGCGAUUAUCGGUAGCUGGUCUGAGAGGACGAUCAGCCACACGGGAACUGAGACACGGUCCCGACUCCUACGGGGGGCAGCAGUGAGGAAUAUUGGGCAAUGGGCGAAAGCCUGACCCAGCAACGCCGCGUGGAGGAUGAAGGCUUUAGGGUUGUAAAGCUCUUUUAGUAGGGAAGAUAAUGACGGUACCUACAGAAUAAGUUCCGGCUAACUUCGUG